ensembl:lncRNA
UGAUGAGAGGUGUCCCUUCCCAUGGCAGGGGAUUGGAAUUAGAUGAUCUUUAAGGUCCCUUCCAACCUAAGCCACUUUAUGAUUCUGUUGAAGCCAGAUGUAAUGCUCCUGUGGCUGCUGCUGCAUCAUAUCCCCAGUGCAUCAACCACCUCUGAGGAACCCUUGGGUCACCAGGAGAGACACUGGCUGGGUCAGCAAGUAAGCCUAAGCUCGAAAGAGAGAAAAAAAGUCCGUCUGUAGACGCAUGUACUGCUAAAAACAAAAACCAGCCUACACGCAGAAGAGCGGCAGCCCCUACAUUGCGGUGUGCGUCCACACACAGCCCGUUGUUCCAGAAACUCCAUCUCCCUUCAGCUGUGAUCACUCCUGACUGUUUGCAGUCUGUGUGCAGUGACGUGCAUGGAAUAUUACUAUGAAAAUGUAUCUUUGAAAGACAAAGCAGCUUGGCUCCGCGAGCUGCAUAGAAGUGACUACAAAGACCAGAGUGUGAGUUACCAGCUGAGACUUUUGGACCUGGGAUAACAAGCUGCAAACCUCUUCAACUGCCUCACGCGUCAAAAGACUCUCCAUCUGUCAUUAAUAUGCAUCAAAGAUAAGGAUGCCUGUGGGUCAGGAUGAGCAGAAAAACAGUCCUACUCUGCAACAGAGAAUUCAAGGAGCCCAGGGACCUAACCCAAAUCUGGAGGGAGAGUUUUAGAAAAGCAUUUAAGUGGCAGGUUCCAGUGCAAGUCAGAACCAUGCUUGUAAAUCAACAAGAUCCUUUAAAAAUCCCACCGUGUCACCUGCCCUCAGCAUCUAGAGUGGUUGUUUAUUUUGCAGACAUCUUCACAAUUCCAUUCUCAAGAUUAUAAUUCACUUGGUGGUACCGCAGUUCUCGCACCCUUGAAGUUAAGUAAAUGGUUAAGUGCAGUGGUGGUUCAGAGCUAGAAGACUCUCUACCUUGCAGGAUUGAGCCCUUUAAUCUAUUCUUAUUUCCUUUUCAAUUUCUGCAAGUAACCCCAAGCAAGCUGGAAACACUAAGUGCAAAGUUACGGGAGAUGACUGUGGCAAUUUCUGAAUGACAAGAGCAUUUAAAAGAAAUGUCAAGAGUCUGUGGGCUGCAAGCUUUUAUGUUUCAAGGAGAAACAAAAAGAAAGGAGGGACAAUAAAUCAAACACAACAGCUUAGCGUGCUCCAUCUCUCAGAGUUAACCUCUUGAAAGCCAUGUCCCCAGCACAGAGUGGGCCACACUCUUUGAUAGGGUCCAUUAUUCUCUGUAGAGCAAUAGAGGUGGUAUGGUGGGCUCCUCCGUGCGUGCCCAGGGGCUGUGUACACUGCGCCUUGCUUAACAUGUGCUCUGCAUUUAUGGGUUAACAUCAAACAUGAGCUGAUUUAUAAUUCUUAAUCAAAAAAGGAUUAUAACCUAAUAAAUCCUAAUAACAUAUUCUGUCUGGAGGUUAUGUGGUGUAGUUGUAUAAUAUACUGGUAGCCUCAUUCUCCUAAGACUGGAAGACUGGACAAAGUU